GUGAGGACUUUCAGGCAGCUUUGUGGGGAGCUACAUGUGGCAAGGAACUGACAGGCCUUCAGCCAAAGGCACAUGACUGAGUCAUCUUGGAAGUGAACCUUCCACCUAUGAGAUGACUCUAGUCCUGGCUGACAUCUUGACUGCAACCUGCAAGCCUUUAGGAGGGCUCCAGAAACCAGCAGUAACCCAGAACUAA
rnacentral:lncRNA from 1 species